CCUACGGGUGGCAGCAGUGAGGAAUAUUGGUCAAUGGGCGCGAGCCUGAACCAGCCAAGUAGCGUGAAGGAUGACUGCCCUACGGGUUGUAAACUUCUUUUAUAAAGGAAUAAAGUGAGGCACGUGUGCCUUUUUGUAUGUACUUUAUGAAUAAGGAUCGGCUAACUCCGUGCCAGCAGCCGCGGUAAUUCGGAGGAUCCGAGCGUUAUCCGGAUUUAUUGGGUGUAAAGGGAGCGUAGAUGGGUUGUUAAGUCAGUUGUGAAAGUUUGCGGCUCAACCGUAAAAUUGCAAUUGAUACUGGCAGCCUUGAGUGCAGUAGAGGUAAGCGGAAUUCGUGGUGGAGCGGUGAAAUGCUUAGAUAUCACGAAGAACUCCGAUUGCGAAGGCAGCUUACUAAACUGCCACUGACAUUGAUGCUCGAAAGUGUGGGUAUCAAACAGGAUUAGAUACCCCUGUAGUC
rnacentral:rRNA from 1 species